CCGUAGCCCAAGAGAUCGGGAUAACACCUGGAAACAGAUGCUAAUACCGGAUAACAACAGAUGAUGCCUAUCAACUGUUUAAAAGAUGGUUCUGCUAUCACUCUUGGAUGGACCUGCGGUGCAUUAGCUAGUUGGUAGGGUAACGGCCUACCAAGGCGAUGAUGCAUAGCCGAGUUGAGAGACUGAUCGGCCACAUUGGGACUGAGACACGGCCCAUACUCCUACGGGAGGCAGCAGUU
rnacentral:rRNA from 1 species